rnacentral:pre_miRNA from 1 species
AUCCCGCCCCUAGGUGUGUGUUGAGAAAUGGCAACACACUCCGUGGAGACGGGAC